GACAGCAGCAGCCGCGGUAAUACAGAGGGUGCGAGCGUUAAUCGGAUUUACUGGGCGUAAAGCGUGCGUAGGCGGCUUUUUAAGUCGGAUGUGAAAUCCCUGAGCUUAACUUAGGAAUUGCAUUCGAUACUGGGAAGCUAGAGUAUGGGAGAGGAUGGUAGAAUUCCAGGUGUAGCGGUGAAAUGCGUAGAGAUCUGGAGGAAUACCGAUGGCGAAGGCAGCCAUCUGGCCUAAUACUGACGCUGAGGUACGAAAGCAUGGGGAGCAAACAGGAUUAGAUACCCCAGUAGUCCCUGUCUCUUAUAC
rnacentral:rRNA from 1 species